rnacentral:rRNA from 1 species
AUUGAACGCUGGCGGCAGGCCUAACACAUGCAAGUCGAACGAGUGGCGGACGGGUGAGUAAUGUCUGGGAAACUGCCUGAUGGAGGGGGCUAACUACUGGAAACGGUCGCUAAUACCGCAUACCAUCGGAUGUGCCCAUGUGGGAUUAGCUAGUAGGUGGGGGAACGGCUCACCUAGGCGACGAUCCCUAGCUGGUCUGAGAGGCUGACCAGCCACACUGGAACUGAGACACGGUCCAGACGCCUACGGGAGGCAGCAGUGGGGAAUAUUGCACAAGGGGAGCAAGCCUGAUGCAGCCAUGCCGCGUGUAUGAAGAAGGCCUUCGGGUUGUAAAGUACUGUCAGCGGGGAGGCGUUACCCGCAGAAGAAGCACCGGCUAACUCCGUGCCAGCAGCCGCGGUAAUAC